CCUGAUGAAUAUGAAGAAACUUAAGCGCAAGAGAACAUAGUGAAGUGGCAGGGAAUGUUGAGAAAAAGAAGUGGGAGCUGGAACUUUUGGCAAGGGGAGAAGCAUUUGCAAGCGAUACAAGCUGACGGAUUUGCUGGUUCUGGUCUUAUUGUGAACCUCAACUUAGAGGGCAAAUUUCUUCGCAGCUAUCUCCGGAGCCAUAUUAGAUCUUUCAUCAGUGGUUUCAGAAUGCUUUUUAAAUUUUUAUUUCCCGUUUAGUACUUAAAUCUAAAACCAUCCAUCGUAUUUGAGCAAAAAAAAAAA